AACCAAGGGGACAACAAUUAAUUCAUUUCCAUGUAGGAAAACGAAGAAGACAGUGGAAAAUGUAAAACCAUACGACUCUCCUAGAAAUAUUCAGGUUUUUAUGUGUAUUUUCAACAUUUGUAAAAAUUCAGUUUGUGAACAUGCAUUAUUUGAGAUUAUACACAUUAUUUUAAUGCACAACACGUUUGUGCACAGAUUACUUUUUUUGCAUGACUCUGAACCUGCAAGCUUACUCCAUCAUUCAUGUUACGAUCAAUGGACACGGACUUUUCAACCAGUAAUUAGCAUUUUGUCGGAGGUGUACCUAUAACCCUGCCAUGAGGAGACACAGCAAGGCCUCAAACAGCCUCACAUCUCUCUAGCAGACACAACAGGAAAGGUCGGAGCCACUUUGGGCUGAGCCUCGCUGGAAAGGUCUGCACAAUUAACUAUAUAAUACAGAAAAUCCUCUGAAGCUUAUAGUGAACAUGUGUUAGCCUGAACGCCACGAGGAGCUUCUCAUAACUCACAUUUCUGCCGGGAGCCAACAUACUUCAGCUAAAGUACGUCUAUGAUGUUGUCCACUGAGAGCAGAAUCCACUUAUUCACAAGACACAGAGAUGUAAAGGAUGGACCACACAUGCUGUCCUCUUUGGGUAAACCACUCGUGUUCUGGAUCCAGACCCCACAUUACCGCACAGAAGAUCGGCUAAUCCCAAUUACGCGCAUGAGAGGACGCAUAAUCCCACCAGCACCCAGUUCCAGCUGUUGAGAGAGAUACAGAAUAUUGGCCGGUCACUGACAGACAUUAUAUGUAUUACAGUAUACAUUCAG